rnacentral:rRNA from 1 species
GACGAACGCUGGCGGCGUGCUUAACACAUGCAAGUCGAACGGAAAGGCCCUGCUUUUGUGGGGUGCUCGAGUGGCGAACGGGUGAGUAACACGUGAGUAACCUGCCCUUGACUUUGGGAUAACUUCAGGAAACUGGGGCUAAUACCGGAUAGGAGCUCCUGCUGCAUGGUGGGGGUUGGAAAGUUUCGGCGGUUGGGGAUGGACUCGCGGCUUUUCAGCUUGUUGGUGGGGUAGUGGCUUACCAAGGCCUUGACGGGUAGCCGGCCUGAGAGGGUGACCGGCCACAUUGGGACUGAGAUACGGCCCAGACUCCUACGGGAGGCAGCAGUGGGGAAUAUUGCACAAUGGGCGGAGGCCUGAUGCAGCAAGGCCGCGUGCGGGAUGACGGCCUUCGGGUUGUAGACCGCUUUCGCCUGUGACGAAGCGUGAGUGACGGUAAUGGGUAAAGAAGCACCGGCUAACUACGUG